rnacentral:rRNA from 1 species
GCUGAACGCUAGCUACAGGCUUAACACAUGCAAGUCGAGGGGAAACGACAUCGAGAGCUUGCUUUUGAUGGGCGUCGACCGGCGCACGGGUGAGUAACGCGUAUCCAACCUGCCCACCACUUGGGGAUAACCUUGCGAAAGUAAGACUAAUACCCAAUGACGUCUCUAGAAGACAUCUGAAGGAGAUUAAAGCUUUAUCGGUGAUGGAUGGGGAUGCGUCUGAUUAGGUGGUUGGCGGGGUAACGGCCCACAAAGGCGACGACCAGUAGGGGUUCUGAGAGGAAGGUCCCCCACAUUGGAACUGAGACACGGUCCAAACUCCUACGGGAGGCAGCAGUGAGGAAUAUUGGUCAAUGGGCGAGAGCCUGAACCAGCCAAGUAGCGUGCAGGAUGACGGCCCUAUGGGUUGUAAACUGCUUUUAUAAGGGAAUAAAGUGAGUCUCGUGAGACCUUUUGCAUGUACCUUAUGAAUAAGGACCGGCUAAUUCCGUGCCAGCCGCCGCGGUAA